UCGGGAAUUUUGGGCAAUGGGCGAAAGCCUGACCCAGCAACGCCGCGUGAAGGAUGAGGUAUUUCGGUAUGUAAACUUCGUAAGAAUAGGAAGAAUAAAUGACGGUACUAUUUGUAAGGUCCGGCUAACUACGUGCCAGCAGCCGCGGUAAUACGUAGGGACCAAGCGUUGUUCGGAUUUACUGGGCGUAAAGGGCGCGUAGGCGGUUUGUCAAGUCAGUUGUGAAAUCUCCGAGCUUAACUCGGAACGGUCAACUGAUACUGUCAAACUAGAGUACAGAAGGGGCAAUCGGAAUUCUUGGUGUAGCGGUGAAAUGCGUAGAUAUCAAGAGGAACACCUGAGGCGAAGGCGGGUUGCUGGGCUGAUACUGACGCUGAAGCGCGAAAGCUAGGGUAGCAAACGGGAUUAGAUACCCUUGUAGUCCCUGAGCGGGCUGGCAAGGCGCAU
rnacentral:rRNA from 1 species